rnacentral:rRNA from 1 species
CCUACGGGUGGCAGCAGUGGGGGAUAUUGCACAAUGGGGGGAACCCUGAUGCAGCGACGCCGCGUGGGGGAAGGAGUGCUUCGGCAUGUAAAGCCCUAUCGGCAGGGAAGAAGCAAGACGGUACCUGACUAAGAAGCACCGGAUAAGCACGUGCCAGCAGCCGCGGUAAUAAGUAGGGGGCGAGCGUGAUCCGGAUGCACUGGGUGUAAAGGGGGCGUAGACGGCCAUGCAAGCAAGUGGUGAAAGCCCGGGGUCCAACCCCGGGACUGCCCUUGGAACUGCAUGGCGGGAGUGCGGGGGGGGCAGGCGGAAUUCCUGGGGUAGCGGUGAAAUGCGUAGAUAUCAGGAGGAACACCGGCGGCGAAGGCGGCCUGCUGGACCGCGACUGACGUUGAGGCUCGAAAGCGUGGGGAGCGAACAGGAUUAGAUACCCCGGUAGUC